UUUUUGUCCAGCACAACACGGAACCAAGACAGACAGUUGUUUUUUCUGGUGACCAAGAUGUUGUCCGGAGGUAGAAGAGCAAUGAAGAAAGUUUGCCAUUAACCCUUCCUGUGAUGUUGGCAGUCUUGCCCUAAAAACAGAGGAAGGGAGGAACAGAAACAGGCAGAUGCUUUGUUCACGUGGGAAAGUUCUAAGAUGCUCAGAGCUGUGGGACACUGAUGUCAUUUCCGCAGCAAAUUUCUUUGCUGAGGAUUGACUUGGCUGUCUGAAUGGACAGCUAAAGCCCUCUUCAGACUUAAGUGCUGCAUUAAAACAGCUUGUAUCCUCGUGCCAAAAUCUCAAAAAGUAUGUCAGGAAGCUCAAGCUCCUUCAGGAGCAUUAGAUCACCUUUCAGUGUUUAGACCCUGUUUGCAUCAUUGAUUUGUUGAAAUAAGAUCCACCAGGGAUUCGAGUCCUGAGCUGGAGUGUCUCUGUCUCGUUAUAAAGAUGAGGAGAUGAUACUUGUGCUUUUGUAGGUGUUGUAAUACUUGUGAUGAUGUCAGAGAAGCAUACAGGUGACGAGACUGGGCCUUCAAGAAAACCCGGAUAGCAUAGAGCUGUCUGACAGUCGACUGCAAAUGAUGUGUGUACUGUCUAUGGAUCAGGCAUCACCAACAUCGUUGAAGGUAACUGGACUAUUGGAUACAGAUGCAGAUGUCUCUUUCCUAACGAAACUGGCCUUCCUCUUGACCUGUAAUCUCCACCAUGCAAGGAGUUGUGGGCCUGGGGGGAAUCGCAGACAGCCUCAUGGCAGCAAAAUUGGUACUUAUCACCAAUACAGAAGGACAAAAGGCUGCUGUUCAACCCUAUGUGACUGUGGCCCCUCUGAAUUUAUGAGGAAGAGGCUGUUUGUCACAAUGGGGAGUUCAGAUAACUAUGGAUUUUCACUAGGGACCGCUGUGUUGCAGGGCAUGGAAAGACCCACAAUGGCUUUGAAAUGGUUAACAGGAAAGCUGGUCUGGCUGGAUCAGUGGCCCCUCGAUCAUGAAAAACUUGUAGCCCUGCGAAAUUUGGUAACAAAACAAUUAGCUGCAGGUCACAUUGAACCAUCUUAUAACCCAUGAAACACCCAGUGUUUGUAAUUAAGAAAAAAUCAGAAAAAUGGCAAUUAUUGCAUGAUUUGUCAGAUCAAUGAGGUGAUGGCAACAAUAGGAGCAUUACAACCAGAAUUGCCCUCACCUACAAUGAUCCCCAUGCUAUGGGAAAUUGUUGUGAUUGAUCUAAAGAAUUAUUUUUUUACAAUUCUGUUAGAUGUGAAUGAUAUGGAAAAGUUUGCUUUUACAGUUCUGUCAAUUAAUCAUGCUGAACCAACACAGACGUAUCACUGGAAAGUGCUUCUGCAAGGAAUGAAAAAUUCACCCACCAUUUGUCAAUGGUUUGUUGCUCAGGCCUUGACCCCAAUUGGGGAAAAAUAUUCAGCAGGGUACUGGUAUCAUUGUAUGGAUGAUAUCCUUUUGACUGCUCCAACAUCUCCAGUGUUGUCAGCAAUGGAACCCGACACGCGAGUUUCACUGGAGCAGUACGGCCUGCUGUGGCGCCAGAGAAGGUGCAAUGCACCGAGCGGCCAUGGCUUCACUUAGGCACGCAGGUGCUUGGCCGAGCUGUGCAGCCACAAGUGAUCCAGUUAAUGAUGGAGGUAAAAACCUUGAAUGAUGCACAGAAAUUAGCAGGAAUUAUCAAUUGGAUACAACCUUAUUUAGGCCUGACUUCAUCACAGCUGAGGCCUCUUUUAGAACUAUUAAAAGGGGACACUGAUGUUGCAGCACCGUGGUCCUUAACCCCUGAAGCAAAGCAAACAGUUGAGAUGGUGGAAUGGGCAAUACAGGACAAGCAUGUUUGGAGAAUUGAAAUGACUGUUGCAGUACAGGUAUUUGUUUUAAUUGAUGACAUGAUACCAUUUGCAAUGAUUGUACAGUGGAACUCUGAUUGGGAAGACCCACUUCAUUUAUUGGAAUGGGCUUUCCUGCCUUGUCAUAACAGAAAAACUGCUCCUGGCCUAUUUGAUUUAUUGGCACAAAUCAUCAUUAAGACCUGAAUGAGAUGCUCAGAGCUGUUGGCAAGAGACCCGGAAAGAACUGUAUUACCUGUGCAGGUAGACUAUUUUGAGUGGUGUCUAGCUAACAGUUCAGCAUUGCAAGCUGCAUUGACAAAUUAUACAAGACAAAUUGAGUAUUAUCUUCCCUUUCAUCCAUCAUGUAGAUUGGGAAGUCAGAUUCGUAUUGGCCAGAAACAACUAAAUCAAAAGGAACCUGUGACAGGUCCUACAGUAUUUACAGACGGGUCAGGAAAGACCGGAAAGGCAGCUGUUGUCUGGUGUGAUGCUCGUCAAUGGCAACACAUACUUGAACAACAAGAAGACUCCCCUCAGAUUGCUGAACUUUGUGUGGUUACUUUGGCAUUCCAACAAUUUACUUGUGCAGUGAAUGUUGUUACAGACUCUGUAUAUGUAGUGGGGUUGUUACGAUGACUGGAUAAGGCAAUCUUGGGGGAUGUGCGUAACGCCUUGUUAUUUGGUGUGCCGCAGCUAUUAUGGCUGACAAUUCAGAAAAGAUCACAACCAUAUUAUGUUUUGCAUAUUAAAAGCCAUACCACUUUGCCUGGAUUUGUGGCAGCUGGUAAUGCACGGGCAGACCAGUUGGUCUCAGCUGUAACAAUGGGACCAGUGCCUAAAGUGAAACAGCAAGUAAUUGAAUCCCAUCGGUUUUUACAUCAUGGCUUUCGUGCCUCAAAACGUCAGUUUCAUUUAACAACUGCAGAGGCCCGUUCUAUUGCUGCAGCCUGCCCUGACUGUCAGGGCCAACACGUACCUGCAUAUUAUGGUACGAACCCUAGAGGUCUGCAAGCUUUGCAGAUUUGGCUAUCUGAUGUUACCCACAUUGGAGAAUUUGGUAAAUUGAAAUAUGUGCAUGUGUCUAUUGGCACAUUUUCAUCAGUCAUAGUAGCUACCACACACACAUAGGGGAAAUAGCUUGUGAUGUCAUUUGACAUUGGCAAUGAGCUUUUGCUGUAUGUGAUGUUCUGCAUCAAAUUAAGACCGAUAAUGGUCUGCUUAUGUUUCCAUAAGUGAAAGCUUUUUUACAGCUUUGGGGGGUUACCCAUAUCACUGGUAUCUUUAAUUCUCCUACCGGACAGAGCAUUGUGGAAUGUGCACACAGCACACUCAGACGCUUUCUUCAAAAACAAAAAGGGGGAAUGACUGGUGAAUCCCCUGAAGCAUAGCUUAAUAAAGCCAUGUAUGUGCUGAAUUUUGUUAAUAUAACCACCUAUGGUUCACCACUUUGAGUCCCUAUGUAAAAUGACCACUGUCUCCCCUGGCGUUAAGGUUAAGGUGAAAGGACCUGCAGAGCAGUUGGUGGUCACCUCCAUGUGAUUUAUUAACCUGGGGAAGAGGGUAUGCUUGUGUCUCCACAGAUAGUGGCCCCCGGUGUGUUCCUGCUCGCUGCAUUCAGCUUGCCCUGGAUGAUCUACAGAAGUGAUGGCUAUUAUCAUCCGCCUGCACUACCUGAUACCGACGUCUGGCUCAUCCUCACCAAUGCAACCAAUCAAUCUACACUGUGUGUUGCCAUGACUACCCCAGUGAACCCAUUCUGAACAUGCCUGGUGGACAUUCCUUUCACUGAGAUGGAACGGGAUUCAUUGUAUAAUCAUACUGUACAAGGGGCUUGCGUCAGUCCGGGCAUUUGGGAACUGAAGUGGUGGUAUGAUGCCACCUGGUGAUUAACAGGGGGUGAAGGUGCUCAGUGGUAGAGAAAGAAUGAUUCAGGGAGCGGGCUUGAUAAAAUUCAGAACUUCCCGGCCCUCCCAUUAAGAGCCCAAGAACUGGAAUUAUUAGGAACUGUAAAAGCUCCCAUGUGUUUUUAUUUAAAGUUUACCAGGUGGCCUAGUGACUCGAAUGAAACAAUGGGUAUUGACUUAACUAGUAGCUCGACAAUCUAUUGAAAUGAGUCUGCAUGGUGCAGUUAUACUGCACCUAGAACAGUCAAAUCCAGUACAGUCCUUGCUGGCCUUUUGAAAAACACAUUUUUGAUUUGUGGGAACAGAGCUUGGAUGGGAAUUCAGAGUAGGGCAAUAGGGGGACCUUGUACAUUUGGUAAACUUUCCUUUCUUCACCCCAAUGACUCCACGGUUAGGAUGUGGAAACAGCAACACACUCAAAAACAGUGCAGUGCAGAUUUCUCAACAGACUGUAAUUCUCAGGUUGAGUUUUGGAAUGCAGUGCAGCAUAUAUACUUCCUUCUUUAGUCCCUUCUAUAGGAACAGCACAUGCUCUUAAUUCACUUAACAAGUUAGGUUGUUGGCUUGCUAAAGAAAGUAAUGCUACAAACACUGCUCUUUCUGGCUUAUUAGCAGAUGUUGAUUCUGUUCGUCAUGCAUCGCUACAAAAUCGAGCUGCUAUUGAUUUUUUUCUUGUUGGUACAGGGACAUGGAUGUGAAGACUUUGAGGGAAUGUGUUGUAUGAAUUUAUCGGAUCACUCUGAGUCAAUACGUAAAAGUGUUCAGCUUCUGAAAGAUGAGUGAAGAAAUUACAAGUAGAUGAUGGAUGGGAUUGGUUGAAUAACUUGUUUAAAGGAUGGGGACUGUUUAAAGGUGGUUGCUGUCUCUGAUAAAAACCGGGUUGUUGAUUUUGUUCAUUGUUGUAGUUGUGUUAUUGAUGUUGCCAUGUCUUGUGUCUCUGCUGCAAUGGGCCCUGCAGCAGAGAACACAGACAAUUUUUGUAACACAAAUAGAAAAAGGGGUAAUUGUGGGAAACCUUAGCUGGUCUGAGGGAUCGCAGUAUGAGCUUAGCCUUGAACAGAUACCCGUGUACCCAUGAAAAGUCUGGGAAGUCCCAAGAAGAGCUGAGUUAACAAGAUAAAGGAACUGCCAGAUGUACAAGUCGAAGAAGUGUAUCACGGAUGCAUCAAAGAAAAGGCCAUCCAGUCAUGAACUGGUGGUCUCUGAGUGAACCAAUCAUGUACAGACAUGCACUCUUAAGAGAAAAUAUAAAAAGGUUUGUAAGAAUGAUAAACGGGGCCUUUUGGCUUUUGAGCACAAUUCUCUGUAUGUUGUGUCUGUCUCAACAAUGACAACCCAUGAUGGCGAAGUUGACAGAGAAACACAGGUAAGAGACCUUUCAGUCCAUUUCAUUCACCCUCCAUUGAUUUUUGCAUAGCUUAAAACUCCAUCCUCACUUAGACAUGACAGUGCUAAUGCCUGAAAGCCAUCCAAGCCCCUUCCCAGUCAGUGGAGAGGAAGAGGCACUCCCAGAUGCCUCGCACUGUGAACAUCUGAAAAGGAUUGGGGUUUUUCUGAUAUUACCUGAAACUUUUUAUUCUACUAUCAAGAUGAAGGGAACUGGUGUACUGAGCAGAAGUCUGAUAUAAUGGUUCUCAGUUCAGAAAAAUUUCCUCAAAGUCUUUUUUUUUUUUUAACAGGAAGAUGAUUUAUAUAGCAUACGCAUCUCACCAGCACCUACAGCAGUACCCACACUGAUCCAAACUGGUUACUUACUCUGCGUUUACUGUGGCUUUUCUGCAUGUCAUAGUCAGUAUGGAACCUCUUUCUUCUUUCCGGGUCCUCCAUUAAUCAUAGGCAUGUAAUUGCAGGGGAAUGGAGGGGGUUGCAGCUGUCCCAUAUUUUAGGAUCAUAAUGAGGGACAGCCAAUGUCUAUACCUUUAAAUGUAUUAACAUGUGCUUAGGGAUGUAGUUUUUGUGUUACAGCAGCUUGCUGUACAUUCUGCCUGUGUAGGAAUGGAUAAAAUCUUGGUGGUUAAAAGUCCAUCUUUAGGUUUAUAAAUUCAGUACUUGUCUCCUAGUGUUGCCGUUGAGCUCCUUAGAGCACACUGCUCUAACGCUACUCAAUGCUGCUCAGUAAAAGUAUCAGCAUCAAACUCUAUUCUGUAGCCAACAGGGGUUAUUUAGUUGUUAAAUCUGUUAGUCGUCACCUCUUAAUAAUUACAUAAUGCAUACUUAUCUGCUAUGAUGAGUAUUAUGAUAAUUAUGAAUUAGUUUGUAUUAGUUAAUUGUUACUUAUCUGACAUAUUGGUAUCUGAGCUCAUGCUGGUUGUUCAAAUAGUUUGCCUCAUUCUAGGUCCUUUACACACUUUCUCAUAGGAGUUUGUGCCAUCGUUGGAGGCAUAUUUACAGUGGUGAGGCCACCCCUUGGAUCCUGUUACAGUUUUCUCACUGUAAGGACAUGGAGGUGCUGGAGCCUGUCUGAAGAAGAGCACUGAAGCUGUUGAAGGCUCUGAAGAACAAGUCUGAUGAGGAGCAGCUGAGGGAACUGGGGGUGUUCAGCCUGAAGAAAAGGAGGCUCAGGGGAGACCUUAUCGCUCUCUACAGCUCCUUGAAAGGAAGUGGCAGCGAGUUGGGGGUACCUCUCUUCUCCCAAGUAACAAGUGACAGGAUGAAAGGAAUGGCCUCAAGUUGCACCAUGGGAGGUUUAGAUUGGAUCUUAAGAAAAAUUUCUUCACUGAAAGGAUUGUAAAGCACUGGAACAGGCUGCCCAGGGAAGCGGUUGAGUCAUCAUCCCUGGAGGCAUUUAGAAGUUGUGUACAUGUGGCACUUUGGGACAUGGUUUAGUGCUGGACUUAGCAGUGGUAGGUUAAUGACCGGACUUAAAGGUCUUUUCCAGCCUAAAGGAUUCUGUUCUAAAGACAUCAGCUGUGUAACAGUUUUUGUGUUACAGGGUCAAAUUUAUUCCAUGGGUAGAGGUAAUUUCAGGGCAAGACAACCACAAAAGGCAGUCAUCUGAAGUGUCACUCAAAGACCUGAUAGUAAGUCCAGUAAUUCUGUCUUCUACAGUAAUAAACAGAAGACUCAGUUCCCGUUUUAGCAGCUACUCUUUAUAUAGUAUUGAAAAGUGUGUCUUUGUGUAGGGCCAAGUAAUCACUUAUUCCUUGAAUUGAGAUGUUGAAUAAAAGAACAAACAACACGAAUCUUCAUAAAGGCACUGAAAAUAC